GAUGAACGCUGGCGGCGUGCCUAAUACAUGCAAGUCGAGCGAACGGACGAGAAGCUUGCCUCUCUGAUGUUAGCGGCGGACGGGUGAGUAACACGUGGAUAACCUACCUAUAAGACUGGGAUAACUUCGGGAAACCGUAGCUAAUACCGGAUAAUAUUUUGAACCGCAUGGUUCAAAAGUGAAAGACGGUCUUGCUGUCACUUAUAGAUGGAUCCGCGCUGCAUUAGCUAGUUGGUAAGGUAACGGCUUACCAAGGCAACGAUGCAUAGCCGACCUGAGAGGGUGAUCGGCCACACUGGAACUGAGACACGGUCCAGACUCCUACGGGAGGCAGCAGUAGGGAAUCUUCCACAAUGGGCGAAAGCCUGACGGAGCAACGCCGCGUGAGUGAUGAAGGUCUUCGGAUCGUAAAACUCUGUUAUUAGGGAAGAACAUAUGUGUAAGUAACUGUGCACAUCUUGACGGUACCUAAUCAGAAAGCCACGGCUAACUACGUG
rnacentral:rRNA from 1 species